CGCGCAUCGACAUCGGACACUAUGGCACACUCGUGCCUUAUGUGCCACCGAAGCAACUAAGUGCUCUGGCAUAUACCUUCACAUGUAAGUAAACGAAUGUAUCUCCUUGUUGAGAAUAUCACGCGAGUAGGCAGCUCUUGUGGUGCAUCACAAUCGUUUGAGAAGCGUCACAGUAGAGCAUUUUUCUACACGCGGAGCGGUGUUUUUAUUUGCAGGUUUCCCUUCAGUAGGAAAUUGCUGGACAGGCGGACCAGCGCACCGGAAUUGUACUGGCGAAGCCACAAGCAAUUCAAAGAAUCUGUUUAAUUGUUAAACUUUGAACAAUCACGCUUUUACAAAGGCCACAGCAGAAACAGCCUGAUGCCGAGUAUUUCUGCGCCACGAAGUAAUCAAGAGGCGAGUGCCUAAUGCGGACGAAAUCGAGUGCAUCGAGACUUAGAACGACAGAAAGCUGAGCUAGUUGAUAUGCAAUGGCAAGCCCUUCCGUGUGUUCCAAAGACAAUGCCUACACCUAGCUACAGCAGCUCCCUCAUACAGACUCCACAAGCCAAGAGGCCGUGGAGGCAAAUGCAGGCAGCCAGCACACCCCGAACAGCCACCUUGACUGCGGGCGUGUCACCCUAGUCGCCAAGGAAACAUUUGAGGGAAAGCGACAGGCAAUGUGAACAGCCACUUCUCCAUGUAAACAAUACUCUUUCUCUCGGAUGACUCCUACGCCUCGCCACGCCAGCACACUUGUGCACAAAGAUGCUGCGAAGGCACGUGCAGCU
rnacentral:lncRNA from 1 species